AUCUUUCCUUAUCCUCGUGUUUUUAAUUUUUUUCUUCGUCAUUUUCUCCCUUCUUAUAAAGAAUUUUUUUCCCCUCUUAUCAUUUAACAAAUACGAGUGAAUUCGAAGGUCGCGUUACUCUUUUGUCUCCCCUCCUCUUUGUCUAUCUACAUAAUAUAGAACUUUGUCCGUCUCUCUUUCUCUCUCUUUCUCUCUCUCUCUCUCUCUCUCUCUCUCUCUCUCUCUUUCUCUAUUUGUUUUCCUUUUUUGUCGCGAGAACGACGAAGCUACUUUUUUUUUUCAUUUUCUUCUUCGAAUUCUCCAAGAGAUAGUUUAUGUUAUUAAAUGUUUGAUUAUUUGUUACGUUUUAACAAGGAAUAUGAGUACGACGUAAUAUAUGCGUCGUCAAAUUUUGCGUGCUCAUUACGAAACGACAAUUAAUCCUGAUCGGAAGUAAAAGAGAGAAAUAGAAAUAGAAAGGGAAAAUAGAGAGAAAGAGAGAGAGAGAGAGAGAGAGAGAAAGAGAGAAUGUGAGAGGCAGACAGAAAUAGAGAAAUAGAGAAAUAAAGAAAGAGUGAAUAGUUAAUGUGGCAUUUCGAUUUUGCCGACUGUCAACGUGGAUGGUCCAGUUGUGCAUCAGAAACCUUAAGAGGAAUUAUUAAAUUCUCUUACUGGAUCAAGACUGAAGCUUAAUAUCUAGAAAGACGUUACGCUACUUGACACGGAUCGCGUUCGAUUAAUCAUUCUUCGAAUUCCAAUUGAUGCAGCUUGAUUAGUAACCUGCAAUGUGUUAUUCAACGUGACACGAAUCAGUCAAUGUUUCCAUUUCGAAAACUGAAUGGUAGUUCGAUGUGUGCAUUGGGAAAUAUUCCAUCAAUCGCAAUUCCUUCCAUUCUCGUAUAUCAUCUAUUUACAGUGCCACACAUUCGUACAGGACUUUUUAUCAUACAUCGAAUUCCUUUUAACAAAAGCCGCGAUCUAUAAAACUGAACCUCGAAGCAAUUUCGCAUAUAUCGAUCGUCGAAAUCGGAAGUUUUUGGUUUUCCAUUCUUCAUCGUUAGUCGACGAAGUGGAGUUAGUGGGCGGAGAAGAGAGGAAGAGAGAUAAGGGGGGGGGGUCAGGUUGGUUUAGUAAUUUUCUCACGGAUUUAUUCGAGUUCGUUCAUCAUUGAAAAAGAAGUAAUAAUAGAAGAGAAAUAGUAAGAAGAGAAAAGAAAAGAAAAGAAAAGAAGAGAAGAGGAAAAAGGAAUCGUGAGAUGUUCCCAUGAGAAGAGCCGUCUGCGUGGUAAUGUCUUGUUGUUGUUGGUGCUGCGACAGCGGGAAUAGUAUAGCCGGUCCAAGAGGAACAACAGGAGCAGCAGCAGCAGCAGCAGCAAGUGCCAUCGUAACCGGUGGCCGAAGAAGUGUCGUGGUUGAGAACCACGUUCACAGGAGCAACGUGGUGAGCGGGGGUGGUCUUGGCAUCGCGUCCGGCCUCUCGGCGAUGCUCUCCCUCAUCGUCGUCACCGUCGCCAUCAGUACUGGCGAGUGGUUGUUGACCGAGGAAAAACUACCCAAGACGUCCUCGAACGCCUCAGUCGAGCCGGACAGCAAAGUGACAUAUAGCGGGCUCUGGCGUGUUUGUGUCGCCAUAAGUUCGCGCAUGGAAUACGAGUGUUCAAGUAUCGACUAUUUUCCAAACGAGGAAUACAGUCCCGAUCCCAGUGACUCAACGAUGGCGAUUCCAUAUGCAGUUACAAAGUCAGCCAUGUUUUUCUUUGCGGCGACGUCGUUGCUCGUAAUCGCGGAAGUUUGUUAUUUCGCCGCACACAUUACGCAUCCGAGGCACAGACUUUGCGUUUUCGUAGCUGGCGUAGUAUUUAUAGUUUCAGGGUUACUAAUGCUGGUUGGAAUGGUCAUGUACAUAUCAAUUUUUAAAGCCGAAGUUGGCAGCAAACUCAGGCCACGAUCAUCGUUUCAGGGACCUCCUUUUACGUAUAGAUACGGCUUCUCCUUUCUUCUAUAUGUGAGCGGCUUCAUCACUACCGAGGUGGCUGGUACAUACGCCAUUUUUCUAUAUAUAUCCUGGCACCAGCGAGAAUUGGUACGAAAGGACUUGAGACGGAAAAAUUAUGGGCAGGGCGUUUAUCACUUGGAUAAUCAUCACGUACAUCAUGGCAAUCAUGCCGCAUUGGGCCAUGGUAAUUUUAUCUGCGAGAGACACCAAAAGAGAUACUUCUUUGGAAGGGAUUCCGUCGAUUACGUCGAUUUCGAUGAGUUUUUACCACCACCACCGAACUUGGAUCAUUACGGUUACACCGGCAGACAAUUUCCAAGAGAUCUCACUGCUCAAACGGUGAGCACGACGGCGGACAUACUGCAGCAGGAGGAGGAUGUACCGGAGCCCGACACCGAUUACAGUCCAAGCGUCCGCCAUGAGUUCGUGACCUUUGACCUCGAGGAUCCAGCACCACCACCUACACCCGUUAGAGGUACCGAGUGGGCCUUCGCAGCUCUAAGAAGAACUACUCCCGUCUGAUAUAGCGUCAGAUAUAAACAAAUGAUAAUUCGAUGGUGUAAUAUCGGAUGAAUAUGAAAUGAUGGGAUGCGGUAAAACUUUUCCAACCAAGUUCAACCACAUCUUUCCUUGGCUUGUGUUUUUGCCGCAUAGAAUCUGGAAUUAUCGUAUUGCGGUAUGCGAGGUUGGUGCAAAACGUCGACUACGAUGACGUGAAUGAUGACGACGAGGACGACGACGACGACGACGACGACGACGACGACGACGACGACGACGACGACGACGACGACGACGACAACGACAAAAUGGAUGAGAAAGCAGAAGAGAAAUACACGGAAGAGGAAGAAGAGGAGUUCAUGUUGGACAAAAGCUGAAAAUAAUUGCUAUUAGAGUAAAAUCGUAAUCUCUUUUUGGCAAUUGCAUAAAGUCGUGGCUCUAGACUUUUUAAAAAUAUAUUUCGAUCGUUAAUUUUCUUUCUCGAACUAUAUCGAUAUAAAAGAACGGCCACAAAAGUGUUAGAAAUAUCGUAAUGUGAUCUAACGUUAUAUUAAAUAUACAAUUUUAUUUGAAAUACUUUUCGAGCAAAAAACGUCGAACGAUAAUUAAAUAAAAAAAAAAAAAAAAAAAAAAAAAAAAAUAAAAAAAAA